CCAGCACAUGUCAAAGUGAACACGCGUGCGUCCGCAUCUAUCCUCGCACUGCUCCCACUCUGGAAUUCUCCCUCGCCCGCUCCCCUCCCCUCCUGCACCCACGCUUCCCCUCUCUUGUCGCUGGCCGCUUAGGCGCGUUUGGAUACUCCGCGCCUGCGCCCUGCAAUCUCCGGUGUUUGUGUUGGGAGGUAGGCAGGUGAGAGCCAGCGACUCAUCGACUGCUACCAGAAAUUGAACUCAGCUCCACUUGGAUUCGAAGCGCAGUGCGCCGACCACUGGGCCAGCGCUCCAUCCCUUUGUCAAACGAAUUCAGUUCCUGCAGAAGCUCCGAGCGCGUGAAACGAAACGUCGGACAUCGCGCCGGUGGUACAACAUCGCGUGGUUGGAACCCGAAUAAACAUCGGAGAUUGCAACAACAAAAAACCCAAUUCCCCGUUUCAACUCUCCGGUCCGGAUCUGCGUGCGCGUGGUGGCUCGCCAGGACGUGGUCCGAACAGCAGCAGCAGCAGGAAUGUUUGGGAGGCCCCUCGGGGCUGCCUGCCUGGGGGAGUCGCCUGGCAAAGUUGCCGAGGGGCAAUGUUGGGGGGGGGGGGGUUGCAAUGCUUGUCACAGGGUACAAUUAAUCUUAGACACAUUCCGUUUUGCACAUUCUCAGCAUUCCCCCCGGGCGAACACAGAGAGAUGUGUACAGAGAUGAGGACGUGAACCUCCUCGUUAGUUUCAGCGAUUCCCCCCCAAACUCCCCCCACCACCAAAUGGUGGGGUUACACUUCCACAGCUUCCACAACUUACACAACUUACACAGCUUCCACAGACGUCGACAACUCACAGAUUACGAGGCGGACGAUAAUGGCGGAUGAGACAUGCGGCCAAGGCAACUUUUCACACGGGGGUGUGCGCUGUAUUUUAAUAGCAUUGCCCAUUUGCAGUUACUCCAAAAAUGCUGCCGACUGAUGAAUUGUCACGCAUGCGUUAGCCUAACAUACUCGACUCAAUGGAAUGAGAUGGAAUUUGACUGAUACGGCGUGUUUAUUGCGUUGCGCAAAAUGCUGGUAUGUAGUGAUUGGAAUUUCUCAAUGAGUACUCCAACGCAUUGGCCCAAGAUGUGUACUUCCACUUCAUCAUAGCAAAGACGCUUUUCUUGCGACCAGUAAAUCGGCAUUCUGAGCAGCAGAGAUGGUAAAAAAAACAUCUAUUCUGGUGGCAAUAUUUGACAACACUGUACUUUUCAGAAAAUAAUUAUAACCCAAUGUCGUUGAGUGCAUGUUUCAUUAAUUACAAGUUGAUGCCUGGAUACUUGAGGUAAUAAAACAUGUUUCGUAAAUUACUUUGCUUUGGUGUGUAGGAUGGCGUUAACAUGACAGAGUGCUGAAGCUGUGCGGUUUAAUAAGGUAACGUCUGAACUCCACAUCACGUUUAUCAUCUCCACUCCCAACAACACCAGCAGCAGGCCUUAUUUAUGUGCUUCUGGAUGAAUACCGAUUCAAAAAUAACAAUAAUAAUCAACUCAUGAAAGGAUCUCAGCGGUCGAGGUUGAGCGUUAUGAUAUUGAGUAGAUAACGGUCAUUGACGUGACCGCCUGCUGCCCUAAGAUAAUGUUUGCAAUGUUUAUACGUUAUAGAACGUGCCAGGUGAUGUUAGAGAGCACGCAGGUAAAAUAAAAAAAACAUCGGGCGGAAUAAAAAAUGCAUCAACCAACGUCGUUUUGUAAAACCGAACGAUGUGCGCAGAUCGAAUCAGAUGUGUAAGAAUAUAUGUUUUCCCAAGUUGUAGAUGUUGCACGCAAUUGAUUUCGCUCGACUUCUCCAGCCACGAGAGGCCGCUACACUGGGUCGUCUACAGCGGCGUUCUUCAUUGCACGGCCCGCAGGCCACAGGCGGGCCCUCGGUGGUCUUUAGUGCGGCUCCCGACAAUACAUACAAUGUGAAAACACCCCUCCCCCCACCAUCAUCAUCGUGCUGCUGUCAAACCCCCCCCCACCCCUACAAAUGUGUGGCUGCCCUCACACUGAUGAUGUCUUGUCGGUGACAGUGCACCACCGACCUCUCCUCUGAAACUUCGUGAAGAACACUGGUCUACACGAUUGGUAAAAAAAAAGAGGGAGUCGGUUCUUGAAACGAAUCGUGACCAUGCGUUGCAACAAUUCGCUGAAUCACGAGGGAGGCGUUCGGAGGGGGGCGGGGAGCGCAGAAUAGUCGCCGCUUAAUUAUUCACUGAAUUUUUUGUGUUGUUCGCCGGUGGGUCGGGAGUUUGCACGCGACUCGUAGCCCACAGCCACAGCGAAAGGUAUACUGAAUGUUGUGUUCCGGCUAUAUGCAUAUUUUACACGUCAGACCCAGAUGAAUAUUAAGUCCUGAUUAGGUCCCCGAAUGAAAACUAUACCCGGAGUCUGACACCAUAUUAAUAUUCAGAACUGAUUUGCUUUGGUCAGAUUGCCGUACAAGUCAAAUGUGUGUCGUAAACCCUCCUCCACCCGACACAAUCAGUUAAUUAAGUUUUCACGACGUAAUGGACAAACAUGCCAAUUGAUUACUUCUUAAGCAUUUUAACAAUCGCUCUCCGACACACUGGUGUGCAGAAGUAGGCAUGCAUUGGCACACUUUUCUUCACGUGAAAACUUGAUUAAUUAACUGCGUCGGGUGGAGGAUGCAUUAAAACACAUUUUACAUACGCGGUCUGACCCUGGGUGGGGGGGGGGGGAAACAAUUACGAGCUCUGAUUUUGACAGAGCACCAAUUUUUGUGAAAACGCAAGCAUCGGAAAGUACUACUUUCUACACAGUUGCCACCGGCAGUGCAGGUAAUUAUUGCCGGGUUGCUGCACGAUGUGCGUUGCAACAGCUGUCAUCUUCAUUUGAGGAAAGAAACCCAUAAUGACCGUGUAAUCAUAAUGAUGAUGAUGAUGGCAGUGGAAUGACGAGUCAGCUACGGAUAUUGCUCCGAAUAGUUGUGAGUGUUCUCACCUUCCGCUUUAGAAAGUUUCGCAAACACGAAUGAUCUCAUCUCUAGCUCAGAGAUAGUGCGGUAGGCAAUAAAUGGAGAGAUCAGCCCCAUGAGGUCAUGCACUCGAUGAGCCAAACAGAACAUGACCGAGGUAUGCAAAUACAGGGUAGGGUUACGACUCGCAGUCUCUGUGCAUGUACACACACACACAAGCACGCGCGACGUGAAUGAGAUACAGCGCGUCCAAUUUCUGCUUCAUUGACUUAUACAUCACGUAGCAGGUGAGUUCAAUAGUGAUUGGUUUCCUUGAAUUGUCACCGAGAUGAGGGGAAAGGUCUCGACGUUUGGGCCCAAUAAUACUUCUUUAGGAAAUGCGUCGUUUGACUUCGUGUAAGACUCUUGUGUUUUUACAGAUCCUUUAUCAAAUACCAAAGAUACCCCGUAUAGCCUUAACAGACUGUUGGGGUAAGUGCUGUUAGCGAGCACCUAUAAA